rnacentral:rRNA from 1 species
UCCGCAAUGGGCGAAAGCCUGACGGAGCAAUACCGCGUGAGGGAGGAAGGCUCUUGGGUUGUAAACCUCUUUUCUCAGGGAAGAACAGAAUGACGGUACCUGAGGAAUAAGCAUCGGCUAACUCCGUGCCAGCAGCCGCGGUAAUACGGAGGAUGCAAGCGUUAUCCGGAAUGAUUGGGCGUAAAGGGUCCGCAGGUGGCAUUGUAAGUCUGCUGUUAAAGAGUUUGGCUCAACCAAAUAAGAGCAGUGGAAACUACAAAGCUAGAGUGUGGUCGGGGCAGAGGGAAUUCCUGGUGUAGCGGUGAAAUGCGUAGAUAUCAGGAAGAACACCAGUGGCGAAGGCGCUCUGCUAGGCCGAGACU